AUAGUGAAGUGCAUCUGCUGCGCGCUUUGGAUGGUCAAAUCUUGCACCCUUACACCUGAGCUCGCAUCAAUAGAUGAAGCCCACCAUUUACUACCAGAGCCGUCUAUGACCCCACCACCUUGAAUCCUGACGCCUUUGAGCUUAGAAAAGUAGAGCCAUAUUCUCGGGUUCUUUGGGUCCCAACCAUUGGGCUCAUCGGGAGCCACAAUUGUUCCGCUUAUCUGCGCAAAUCCACGAAUCACCGCAUGCUUCCACCCACAAAUGUUGAAAUGUGAAUAUGAUUCAUCGUCCCUUAUGUAUAACUAAUAUUACCUGAACAAUGAGGUUGCUCUCGCAGGGCCCUCUGAACCUUGCUGCAUUCACUAGGUAGUGACGCUGAUCUGGUACCAGAAAGACUGCAUUCUUGAGAGAGCAAGCCUUGUCCCAGGCGUUCAGGAAGGCCUAUCAUGUAUUCAAGGUUAACAAGUAUAUGCAUGAUAUCAAAACAUGCGAACCUUUAAGUUAUAAUGCAAUGCAUAUAAAUUUAGUCAAUUCUAAGCUGAUCUCUCACCUGGGUAUCAUCUGUGACGCCGUCCCCAGCAGCCCCAAAGCUAUCGACAUUGACGGGGAUCCUGGAAGCCCUCUGGCUCAUCCACAUUGUGGGAAUAUCCAACUCCAAUUCCAAUUCCAUGGCUGCCUCAUCUCCCCAUAUCUCCAUCUCUUCCCACCAGCUGGGGACAGAGGCUGACAUGACCUCGCUCACAUGAGUUAGCAGCAUCAGUAGAAGGAAGACAACAAACCUUAUUGUUGAAAAAGCUCCCUUCCUCAUCCUCUCUAAUCCUUGUGUCUUGUUGAUUUCCAAUUGUCUUGUGCCUUUAGGUGUGGGCUUGUACAUAUGGAUUCAUUUAGUAUAUCCAUAAUAUAUAUAUAUAUAUAUAUAGCUUGAAGGAUGAACAAGUGAAUUCGCAGCCCAAGAGUCGAGAGAGUGGGUAAACUCGUCGCUACUCUCUCUGAUGGUGGCUUGGCUUCCAAGGGGGUGCAUGUACGAGGGGAGUGGUGGUGGUGGAGAUGGUGGUCUCUUCCUUUCUUUCUUCUUUGUUGUUCCGGAUCGCAUCACGUCUCUCUUGCAAGAUAUCAUGUGUAAACUUGAAGUAUAAUCAAAUAAACUAUUUCUCCUGUAGCUCCUUUCUCCAAGUUUAUGCUUUACUCCUCGAUUUUUCAUUUGCUGCUUCCAAUGAAUGUUCCGACUUAUGACCAA